CAACGUCAAACGGUCUCAUUGCAUCAAAAGAUGCGUCAAACGGUCUUCUCGUGUCGUCUCGCUAUUGGUCAGCCUUUAUCUUGAAGCAGCGACUCUUUCUUUCCCAGCGAUGGCGGCCAUAGCUGCGUGAACGGACGGUGAGCAACAAGAGGAUGCAGUUGAGGCCGGCGGCAACGUGUUGACCGUGACAUCAGCAACGUGAGAUGGGGCCAGAGGGAAGCCUGCAGACUGUCGUCAACAACCUUCAACUGCCAUCGAUCGCCCAACGCGACGCCAGCAACAGCUUCCGGUGCUGACGGUGGAGGACCGGACUGUGGAUGAGGGACGACAGUACAGACAGGCUGGGUCAAGGGUGCGGAUAGGUGGUCAACACCACAGGAAGAGUCGUGACAACUGUGGUGUCGAGAAACCAUGGAAACAAUUGAAAUCAUCAGGUUUGCUGUCGUCAGCAGAGGCCAGGUGCAGAGAAGAGGAAAUCAGGCGUCAGACUGUGGCUGUGAAAUCAAUGUCCUCCUCCUCCUCCACCCCGUCAGAGGCACCCUCGCCAUUGCCUUUCUCUCCUCCUGCGUUUGUCGUCUGCUGCAGGCGUCAAGGAAGCCGUCGGGCUGUUGUCAGCAGCGAAGAGGAUUUCAUCGACGUCCUCGGCUCCCCCCUUAUUGACUGAGGACGGUGGAGAUUACAAAGCUUCCAUGCCAUUUUUCAAGGCGCGCGAGGAGGUCUUGCUCUGCGGACUGCCUACAAGAUGGCGGCGGACACCAUUUGCAGAGACCGCCAUGUUGAUGGAGUAGCGUCCCCCUUGCCGCUGGCGGCACUCCGUGCGCGUGACGUCAGCAGGUGGCUCUUGCCUGCAGGCACCCGACUGGAGCGUGGUGUGCACGUGCGGUACAGGAGAACAGCACGUGGCGAGGUUACAAAGCCAGAGGCAUAUUGACCUGACAGGGGUCAAGGACAAGCCCACUCUGACAGAGAGCAUCUUCUGUCUGCUUGGUGAUCCGAGACCUGACUGACAGGACAGAAAGGGUGAAGGAUGUGUAAAAGCGUACUUCCUCCCUCUUACAAAGGAUAUGGAACUCAAGAUGUGCAGAAUCUGCACGCUUCUCCUCUCCCCCAACCUCCACACACACACAGCUGAGAUUCUUGUUUCACUUUGCUGCAUCUUGUGGCCUGUCUGCGUGGCUUCCUGGACAUGUCCUGGACUCCAUUGAUUCACGGACUCCGUGUCUUAUUCUCUCGAUCUUCCCCUACCGACCUCCGCCUACCAUUCUCUCCCUACCCACAAGCCUGCUGCACGCAGACCUUCCAAAUGAAACAGCCCACUGCAUCACUUUCGAUGAUAGAUAUCCUUGAUGCCAUCCAUCACGACGAUAACAUCGUGAAAACCUCGUCUGGUGCUCCCCUCCUGCCCUAACGAACUACCGUCGACACCCAGACUCUGACUUUGCUGGUCUCGUGAAACCUCGGCCCAUCGUCACGUGCUGUUACUCUCGCCCUUCAAGGGGAGGUUAGUCUUGAUGCAUCUAUACGUCACGGCGUCUAGGUCACGUGAGUACGUCAGCCAUCUUGUCCACGCACGUCACUAACGGGACCUAUGCGGCGGAUUAAUCUGCAAAGGAUGACAUCCAGAAAAAUGUAGUACAGAGAACAGGGUUGUGAAAUAUGUGUCACACAUGAUGAGAUCGUCUCAGUCGCUUUGUAAUAUUUUUGUCACACAUGAGAUCCUAUCCGUCACAUUGUAAUUUGUCACACAUGAGAUCCUAUCAGUCACAUUGUAAUUUGUCACACGAGAUCCUGUCCGUCACAUUGUAAUUUGUCACACAUGCUGAGAUCAUGUCGGUCACAUUGUAAUACUUUUGUCACACGUGAGGCACAGUCCCCUUCACCAACCUUCUUUCAUCUUUGUUGCCCGCUCCUAUUGCCCUCCCCCUCCCGUAGCACAGCCAUCUGCCAUUAGUUUUGAUGACACAUCCCAACCUCACCCUUCUCACCCCAAACUAGGUUAUGCUGACUGCGGGCGAGCUUGAUGAUUCCCUCCACCUCCUUCACUCCUUCACUCCACCCUCCCAUCAAGGUUCUGGUUGUUAUCAGUGACACGAACUCUACACGUGGAUUCAGGCAAUGCUCACCGCUGUCCUUUGCGAACUGGUCAACACUUCCAACUUUUCAAAUAUAUUUGUUUUCAUCAAAGAUUUUGUCUUCACGAGCUGAGGAUACAUUUUAUUUUUUCAUUUUCAUCUUCUCUUUGAUCCGCAUCCCAGCCAUCGGCAGGUGUCGGCCUUCCAAACCCUGUCUCAGUCUCUGAUUGAAGCGAUGACUGCGGGACAAAUAUCUGCGAGUCUUCAGUUCAACUUUUCUGCACCGCAGUUAUCGGUCAUUGUUCCCACUGUUAUCAGCUGGAGGCAGCUAUCACUCAUCCGCCCAUCCACCCACCUAUCCCGAUUUAGUGCAUGCUCAGCGCAUUUCAGGUGAUGGCGGUGUAAAUGCCGGGUAUCAGCACGCCGGGGGUCAGCAAGGUGGCGAGAGGUCAGACAGGUGAUGUCCUUGUUUUAGGGCUUGUUAGAGAAAUAUUUGGGGGAGUACGGGGGGACGACACUGAGAGGAGGGGGAGGGCGGUAGAAGAGGGUCAAGGUGGAGGUCGCGACAAGCAAUGACCUUAGCGGAGGACGCACGCAUGUAUGAUGGAGUGAUUGUAAAACACAAUGGUAUGAGUGAGUGAGUAUGCACACACACGCUCGCGCGCACACGCACACGCACGCACACACAUGCACUAGGAUGGCGGCGAAUGUUUGGUGCAGAUGCAGGUCGGUCUGACCGGAGGGACUCUCUGAACGCGCCAGCCAACAUAAUUUCUGCACGAAGACUCCAGACCUUGACCUUCUGCUGCUCACAGCCGUGACCUGUGUCACGUGACUGCACAAGCAUGUUGCAGCUGCUGCAUGGCCAUCGCAAUCAGCGAUUUUCAGUUUUAAAUGCACCGAUAGUUCGGGGGGUGGGGUUUGUCUCGGGUGGGGGUAGAAGGGAGGUGGUAGCAUACCCGUUUGAAAUCCUGACUUGUCAGAUCAGUGUAACAACGGUGGAGGUGAGGGGUCGCUACAGUUGUCUGCCUCGUACACACAUGUGACGUCACGUCAUCAGGACUGUUGCUAACAACAUAUGUUGAGUGAUGACAACAAGACAACAAAGCGAGGAGGAUAAUAGGGGAGGGGGUCCGAGACAAAUGCUGACGCUCGCGUUGUGAGUCUUUACCAGGGGUGGAGGGGUUGAGUGGGAUUUGUUGAGCAAUCACUAUACAUGGAAAUAGGGGAAGCGGUUCGAGAACCGGGAUCCGAGCCCGGAGGCGCGUCGGUUCGAUACCCGUGUUAAGCAGCGAAUUUCCUCCAAUCAUGCAGCUGUCGGAAGUGGGUACCUGACUCCGAAGAGCAAGGGCAGGGAACGUUUCUUCCUCCAACUGGAUUUUUGUAACAUCACUUGCGGAUCAUCACAGAGCCAAUCGUUGCAGAUGGCUUCUUACCAGCAUCCCCAGACGUCCUCCAGUCCGGGGGCAGCGAGUAGCUGUUCACUGUCAGUUGUCUGCAAGAUGCACGCGCAGAUCUCACGGCAGGAGACGUCACACCAAGAAACUCGUUUGAUAACGGCUUCGUGCGGUGCUGCUAGUAGGUGUGACGUUUACAGCGACACGCUCUCACGUCGGCCAGCUGUUACGUAACCGUAGGAGGCAGGCGGCCCCGGAGUUUUAUCUGAAUAUCUGGGGAUCGAGGGUCUGCCUGAGGUCGUGAUCCUCAGAUUGUCAUCAUCAUCAUGACAGAGAGCCUGCUUUCUCAUCAAAACCUACCCUACAUCACUCAGCAAGGGCUACACCCGCUCAAAGCCGAGCAUCCA